UACAGAGGUCCCAAGCGUUGUUCGGAUUCACUGGGCGUAAAGGGUGCGUAGGUGGCGUGGUAAGUUUGAUGUGAAAGCUCAGGGCUUAACCCUGAAAUGGCAUUGAAUACUACUGUGCUGGAGGUUUGGAGGGGGGACUGGAAUUCUUGGUGUAGCAGUGAAAUGCGUAGAUAUCAAGAGGAACACCAGUGGCGAAGGCGAGUCCCUGGACAACACCUGACACUGAGGCACGAAAGCCGGGGGAGCAAACAGG
rnacentral:rRNA from 1 species